UCCCCACUCCUCCUCAGGCACUGAAACCCCUCUCAGUCAAUGAGCCCUCCCUCGCACCCUGUUCCCACAAGCAGAUUCAUAAAGUACUAUUCCCCUUUCUCCAUUGGGCCAUUCAAGUUCAUAUGGUGGGAGUGCAAAAUAUCCCUGACUAUGUUGCCCAGGUGCAUCCACUUCCAGCUGUGGUAGUUGGACUUUCUGGCGGAGUGCAAAAUGCCUUUUGCCAUAUGUGUACUCAUGCUUCCUGAGGAAGGCAGACGAUGGGCACGAGUCCCAUUGGUGUCCCUACCUCAGUUUGGAACCCCAUUCUCUCAAAGCCAGCAAUUACUUCAGGAAUAUCUUUUAUGCCUGCCACCGUGGGGUAAACCACACACCUGAUUGCCUCAGAAACCUCCGCCACUAUUUUACCCACAGUCAACUUCCCAACACCAAACUGGUGCAACAGACUUGUAGCAAGCAACCUGGGGUAACCAGUUUCCUGACAGCUAUAGCAACCUGCUUCUGGACCAGCCAGGGUGGCCUCAUGCAUGUGUCUUUACGCUGGAGGGUCAGAGCAAACUGCUCACAAAGCUCCAGAAAGGUAGCUUUCUUCAUGCGAACGUUCUGGACCCAUGGUUGGGCAUCCCAGGUCUGCAUGAUGAUUUGAUCCACCAGUCUAUGCUUGUGGCCUUGCACUUACACUGCACCAUAGAUAUACUGUUAUGGGCUAAUACUCUGCAUUGCCGUAUGGGAGAUCAAAGUUUGACUCCUGGGUUCUUGCUGUGGAGACUGGGAACCUGAAAAGUGGAGGGUGUUACAACCUGAGAGAUGUUUGGUGGAAUGCCUUUUAUUCCUCGCUAGAGGCCCUUUCCAGGAAGCUUGUUAGAGAAGCCCUGCCUUUCUCUCUUGCCAAGGAGAAUAGGGAGGUUGAGGCCUUAAGCUGGGGGAGGGAGGAGGAGAAUAUAAAAUGAGGGAAAAAUUUGGGGAACCUGACAGAGCUGGAAAACUACCAAUGUGGAAGGAGAUAGACAAUAAUCUGAUAAAAUACACCACUUCUUGGUUCUGUCAGUACGUACUUUCAGACUUUAACUGUACUCUGUAUCUCCCCUUCUAACCUCACAGGUUUCUUUGGUCUUUUGAUUGUUUAUCACUGAGUAGAUUCUGGUGAGAUGCCAGAUAGUGAAUUGGUGCUUCCUGGACCUUAAAUUUGUUGCUGAAAUACCCCAUUUCCUUGCAGAUUUCAUUUUAAUAGAAGGGAAGCAUGCCUUGGGAUGCCUAGGUACACUCUCAGGGGGCAGAUCCUUUAUGUAGCAUCCCAUCCUGAGAGCUUAAACCAUGCAGUUCAUUCAUUGGAACCAGGGCUGACACUCCUCAGGCACCCCCUGUCGCUUAAACACAUCAUCUCCCAGAACUUGACCCAAAGGUGUGAGCCUUCUGGUUUCCAUCUUCCAGGUGCCACGGUACGUGUGGCAUGUAAUGCACAGAAGUUUAACACAUUAUUUCUUUUCACUUAAUUACUAGGGCAGUUAACUCACGUGAUUAACUCAAAAAAAUUAAUAGCGAUUAAUCACAGUAUUAAUCGCACUGUUAAACAAUAUAAUACCAAUUGAAACUUUUAUA